UACGGGGAGGGCAAGCGUUGUUCGGAUUUACUGGGCGUAAAGGGCGCGUAGGCGGUCAGCACAAGUCAGUUGUGAAAUCUCCGGGCUUAACUCGGAAAGGUCAACUGAUACUGUGCGACUAGAGUGCGGAAGGGGCAACUGGAAUUCUCGGUGUAGCGGUGAAAUGCGUAGAUAUCGAGAGGAACACCUGCGGCGAAGGCGGGUUGCUGGGCCGACACUGACGCUGAUGCGCGAAAGCCAGGGGAGCGAACGGG
rnacentral:rRNA from 1 species